rnacentral:rRNA from 1 species
GACGAACGCUGGCGGCGUGCUUAACACAUGCAAGUCGAACGGAAAGGCCCUGCUUUUGUGGGGUGCUCGAGUGGCGAACGGGUGAGUAACACGUGAGUAACCCGCCCCUGACUUUGGGAUAACAUCAGGAAACUGGGGCUAAUACCGGAUAGGAGCUCCUGCUGCAUGGUGGGGGAUGGAAAGAUCCGGCGGUUGGGGAUGGACUCGCGGCUUAUCAGCUGGUUGGUGGGGUAGUGGUGUACCAAGCGUUUGACGGGUAGCCGGCCUGGGAGGGUAACCGGGCACCUUGGGCCUGAGGUACGGCCCAGACGCGUACGGGAGGCAACAGUCGGGAAUAUUGCGCAAUAGGCGGGCGCCUGAUGCGGCAGCGCCGCGUGCGGGAUAACGGGCUUCGGGUGGUGAACCGCUUUGGCCUGUGACGAAGAGUGAGUGACGGUAAUGGGUAAAGAAGCACCGGCUAACUACGUG